rnacentral:rRNA from 1 species
CACCGCCCGUCACACCAUGGGAGUCAGUUGCUCUAGAAGUCGGUGCGCCAACCUCGUGUGGUAGCCGCCUAAAGAGUGACUGGUGACUGGGGUG